UACGUAGGGUGCAAGCGUUGUCCGGAAUUAUUGGGCGUAAAGAGCUCGUAGGCGGUUUGUCGCGUCGAAUGUGAAAACCCGGGGCUCAACCCCGGGCCUGCAUUCGAUACGGGCAGACUAGAGUUCGGCAGGGGAGACUGGAAUUCCUGGUGUAGCGGUGAAAUGCGCAGAUAUCAGGAGGAACACCGGUGGCGAAGGCGGGUCUCUGGGCCGACACUGACGCUGAGGAGCGAAAGCGUGGGGAGCGAACAGG
rnacentral:rRNA from 1 species